CCCGUUUUAUCACCUCUCGAAUCGCUGCUGAGCCUCCUAACGAGCAAAAACGACGAGAAAAGGAAAGGGGAAGCGAGAUGGAAUUUCCGUGAGUACUUCGAAGCAGCUCUGAGCGAGAAAAAAAAAAAUCCCUUCCAGAGUUAUGAAAAGUUAAAAGUUUGACAGGCGUGACGCGUGAUUUUGCCGGUGACCUUGAAACUUGAGGAUCAUCUCGGAAUUCUUAAGUGAGAAACUUUUGGUGCUGAGAACUUCGGAAUUGGUGCACAUACCUCGGGGAUCAGUGUUAACUCCG
rnacentral:misc_RNA from 1 species